UAAAACCCAUGCCCACGUUUAUUGCAUAUUGUUAAUUAUAAUUACUUUAAUGCUGCAGUACACCUACUCAUCUCUUGAGCGAAUUAAGAUCAUGUAGUACUGUCAACAUAGACACAUAUACAUAUAUAUAUAUACUUUAGCUGUAUGUAUCUAUAUGACUAUAGAUAUAUGAUGAUUAUAUGUAUAUAUGGAUAUUGGUGCAGGCACAUAUAUAUAUAUAUAUAUAAAAGGGGAGUCGCUAGGCAUGAUGUGAGCAGCGAUGAGUGCAUUGACAAGUGAGAGAAUCCAAACAUCUUUCGGUGUAGAGACGCUCGAAAUGGCUUAAUUCACAGAGUUCCCGGCAUGUCUCUGCACUGCAAUGACCUUCCAUCAACAUCUCAUACUUGUCUUCGCAUAUCCCUUCAUGUCCGUACUCCUCGCCUAACCCCCCUGCAUUACGUACAUAUACAUAUGCAUAUACAUAUAUACAUGCACACAUACUCAGAUUCUUCCACAACAAAAAUAUUACUGUCUGAAGCUCAAAAAUAUUAGAAAAGAAAACACUACAAAGUAGAAAAUAAAUUACCUUUCUUGCGCUAGUAAAUUACAAAAACAGCAAUGUAUAUAUGCCAAUAAUAAAACUACAUAUAUAUAUAUAUAUAAUUAACUGAGAAAGAGAGAGGGAGAAAAGUAGAGACCUAAAGGAAAGGCAAUGAAGAGUAAAACCCCAAUGGAAACAGCAAUGACCUUCUUCAUCUUCAGGAUCACAACAACUAUCAAGAAACUUUGUAAUGUAUUUGAGAGUACUUAUUACAGAACAGUUUGGAGCAAAUAUAUAAAUGUGUGACAAGAUGUUCAAAAUCUCUAUAAUACUGAAUAAGGCUUAUUAGCAGCCGUUGGAUUAAGUAACUGACAUUAUGUGCUUAUAUAUGCUU
rnacentral:lncRNA from 1 species